UGAGGAAUAUUGGUCAAUGGGCGAGAGCCUGAACCAGCCAAGUCGCGUGAAGGAAGACUGCCCUAUGGGUUGUAAACUUCUUUUGUAGGGGGGUAAAGUGAUCUACGUGUAGAUUAUUGCAAGUACCCUACGAAUAAGGAUCGGCUAACUCCGUGCCAGCAGCCGCGGUAAUACGGAGGAUCCGAGCGUUAUCCGGAUUUAUUGGGUUUAAAGGGUGCGUAGGUGGUCUUAUAAGUCAGUGGUGAAAGUUUGCGGCUUAACCGUAAAAUUGCCAUUGAAACUGUAGGACUUGAGUACAAAUGAGGUAGGCGGAAUGUGUUGUGUAGCGGUGAAAUGCAUAGAUAUAACACAGAACACCAAUUGCGAAGGCAGCUUACUGGGAUGUAACUGACACUGAGGC
rnacentral:rRNA from 1 species